rnacentral:rRNA from 1 species
AAAACAUAGCUUUCUGCGUUAAUAUAGAAAGUAAGUUCUGCCCGGUGAUAUUUAAUUUAACGGCCGCGGUAUUUUGACCGUGCAAAGGUAGCAUAAUCAUUUGCCUUCUAAUUAGAGGCUGGAAUGAAUGGAUAUACGAGAUUAAUACUGUCUCUUUUUUAUUUAUAUAAAUUAUUUUUUAGGUGAAGAAACCUAAAUGUUAAUGAAAGACAAAAAGACCCUAUUGAUCUUAAUUUUUAUGUGGAUUUUUUUAGAAUUAUUUACUAUUUUACCUAAUAAAAUUUGGUUGGGGCGACAAAGGAAUAUAUAAAUCUUCCUUUAAUUUUUAGAAUAAUUAUUCUUUUAUUUGAUCUAUAUAAGUGAUAAAAAGAAAUAGUUACCAUAGGGAUAACAGGCUGAUUUUUUCAGAGAGUACAAAUUGAUGAAAGAGUUUGGCACCUCGAUGUUGGCUUAGAGUAUCCUUCAGAUGCAGCAGUCUGUAAGGGUUGGUUUGUUCAACCAUUAAAACUCUACGUGAU